rnacentral:rRNA from 1 species
CCGUUGCAAGGGACUCCGAAGAGCUGUGGCAAGGGGUGAAAAGCCAAUCUAACCUGGAGAUAGCUGGUCUUCUGCGAAACCCGUUUUAGCGGGUCGCCCAUUUAUUGAAAUUAAAUUCGUUACUAGACGGUACGGCACUGGAAGCCACGCAGCUUUUGCUGCAUAAUCGGGGGGCUGUCAUGGCUCUAUCGAUGGCUUCUAACCCCGGAAAUGUAUAGUAUACAAUGAUGGGCAAUCAGACGUAUCGUGAUAAGGCGAUUCGUCAAAAGGGCAACAGCCCAGAACAGGUGUGAAGGUCCCUAACAAGCUACUGAGUGAACACAAGGCAGUCCUCUCCAGUGUCUCUCCACAAGGUGGGCUUGGAAGCAGCCACCUUUUAGCGAUAGCGUAACAGCUCAGUGGUCUGAGCCUCCCUGUAAAAAGGGAAUAUUGCCUGGUGAGGGCGCCAAAAAUGUAACGGGUCUAUAGUAGUUGUCUCUCUGUUCCAGCUUUGGAUAUGGAGGGAGUGGCAGUUUCUUCACUGUCUCACCGAAACCCUGUCCUAGAUGUCAAAUUCUAGGGGUAGCAGAAUACCCAGCAAAUGGAAUGAAGCUUGCUCAUUGAGCCGGUGGACAUAGCUGGGCUAAGAAUGCUGACAUGAGUAGCCUAAAAGGAGGGUAAUUCCCUCUUCGCCGAAAGCAGAAGGGUUUCAUUUGUAAGGUCUAUACCUAGAUGAUUAAAGCAGCGGCCUCUAAGGUUCAGAGUAACAAAUUAGUUCCGAUGAGUAACUCUUCUAUAGGGCAGUAACCUUCCUUAUAAGUUUACCUUCAAGUAAUUAGAGGUAUACUUUAAAGAGUAAGGUUCGGGAAAGAGCCCUACAGAAUCAAUCUUAAAACCGUACCCUAAACCGACACAGGUCUGCAAGUAGAGCAUACUAAGGCGUAGAGAUAAUCGUCUUGAAGGAACUCGGCAAAAUGACCCCGUAACUUCGGGAGAAGGGGUGCCACUAAUAAGUGGCGGCACUAAACGGGGGGGCGCGACUGUUUACUUAAAACACCGGACUCUGCUAACACUAGCGUGGAUGUAUAGAGU